AUUGCUUCGCAGCCUUUUGGCUAAGAUCAAGUGUAGUAUCUGUUAUUAUCAGUUUAAUAUCUGAUAUGUCUUCUAUCCAAGGACAACAUGAUAAAUGGAGUUUUGAAAGUAGGAGUUGGAGUAGGAGCUUGCUCUCUCCACUGCACACAUCGACCUGGUAUUGCAGUGCCUCCAGGAACAGUGAACCCCCU